CAGCCGCCGCGGUAAUACGAAGGGUGCAAGCGUUAAUCGGAAUUACUGGGCGUAAAGCGUGCGUAGGCGGUUUGUUAAGUCUGCUGUGAAAUCCCCGGGCUCAACCUGGGAAUGGCAGUGGAUACUGGCAAGCUAGAGUGUGUCAGAGGAUGGUGGAAUUCCCGGUGUAGCGGUGAAAUGCGUAGAGAUCGGGAGGAACAUCGGUGGCGAAGGCGGCCAUCUGGGACAACACUGACGCUGAGGCACGAAAGCGUGGGGAGCAAACAGGAUUAGAUACCCGAGUAGUCCCUGUCUCUUAUAC
rnacentral:rRNA from 1 species